rnacentral:rRNA from 1 species
CGGACGGGUGAGUAACGCGUGAGAAUCUGCCUACAGGACGGGGACAACAGUUGGAAACGACUGCUAAUACCCGAUGUGCCGAGAGGUGAAACAUUUAUGGCCUGUAGAUGAGCUCGCGUCUGAUUAGCUAGUUGGUGGGGUAAGGGCCUACCAAGGCGACGAUCAGUAGCUGGUCUGAGAGGAUGAUCAGCCACACUGGGACUGAGACACGGCCCAGACUCCUACGGGAGGCAGCAGUGGGGAAUUUUCCGCAAUGGGCGCAAGCCUGACGGAGCAACGCCGCGUGGGGGAGGAAGGUUUUUGGACUGUAAACCCCUUUUCUCAGGGAAGAAGAAAGUGACGGUACCUGAGGAAUAAGCCUCGGCUAAUUCCGUGCCAGCAGCCGCGGUAAUACGGGAGAGGCAAGCGUUAUCCGGAAUUAUUGGGCGUAAAGCGUCCGCAGGCGGUUAAUCAAGUCUGUUGUCAAAGCGUGGGGCUCAACCUCAUACAGGCAAUGGAAACUGAUUGACUAGAGUAUGGUAGGGGUAGCGGGAAUUCCAGGCGUAGCGGUGAAAUGCGUAGAUAUCUGGAAGAACACCAGCGGCGAAAGCGCGCUACUGGGCCAUAACUGACGCUCAUGGACGAAAGCUAGGGGAGCGAAUGGGAUUAGAUACCCCAGUAGUC